GAUGAACGCUGGCGGCGUGCCUAAUACAUGCAAGUCGAGCGAACAGACGAGGAGCUUGCUCCUCUGACGUUAGCGGCGGACGGGUGUGUCACACGUGUAUAACCUACCUAUAAGACUGGUAUCACUUCGGGAAACCGGCGCUAAUACCGGAUAAUAUAUUGAACCGCAUGGUUCAAUAGUGAAAGACGGUUUUGCUGUCACUUAUAGAUGGAUCCGCGCCGCAUUAGCUAGUUGGUAAGGUAACGGCUUACCAAGGCAACGAUGCGUAGCCGACGUGAGAGGGUGAUAGGCCACACUGGAACGGAGACACGGUCCAGACGCCUACGGGAGGCAGCAGUAGGGAAUCUUCCGCAAUGGGCGAAAGCCUGACGGAGCAACGCCGAGUGAGAGAUGAAGGUCUUGGGAGCGUAAAACUCUGUUAUUAGGGAAGAACAAAUGUGGAAGGAACUAUGCACGUAGUGACGGUACCUAAUCAGAAAGCCACGGCUAACUACGUG
rnacentral:rRNA from 1 species